rnacentral:rRNA from 1 species
UACCAGCACCCCGAGUGGUCGGGACGUUUUAUUGGGCCUAAAGCAUUCGUAGCCGGUUCUACAAGUCUUCCGUUAAAUCCAACUGCUUAACAGGUGGGCUGCGGAAGAUACUAUAGAGCUAGGAGGCGGGAGAGGCAAGCGGUACUUGAUGGGUAGGGGUAAAAUCCGUUGAUCCAUUGAAGACCACCAGUGGCGAAGGCGGCUUGCCAGAACGCGCUCGACGGUGAGGGAUGAAAGCUGGGGGAGCAAACCGGG